rnacentral:rRNA from 1 species
AAUAUGGGGGGACCAUCCUCCAAGGCUAAAUACUCCUGACUGACCGAUAGUGAACCAGUACCGUGAGGGAAAGGCGAAAAGAACCCCGGCGAGGGGAGUGAAAAAGAACCUGAAACCGUGUACGUACAAGCAGUGGGAGCACCUUCGGGUGUGACUGCGUACCUUUUGUAUAAUGGGUCAGCGACUUAUAUUCUGUAGCAAGGUUAACCGUAUAGGGGAGCCGCAGGGAAACCGAGUCUUAACUGGGCGUUAAGUUGCAGGGUAUAGACCCGAAACCCGGUGAUCUAGCCAUGGGCAGGUUGAAGGUUGGGUAACACUAACUGGAGGACCGAACCGACUAAUGUUGAAAAAUUAGCGGAUGACUUGUGGCUGGGGGUGAAAGGCCAAUCAAACCGGGAGAUAGCUGGUUCUCCCCGAAAGCU